rnacentral:lncRNA from 1 species
CUCUUAUUUUGUGUGACAAAAGCCCUCUCCCAGGUCUCUCCCACAUUCACAAAAGGUUUCCUCUCUUCUUUCUUACAUGGAAGGUGGUUUGGAUCAAAUCAAAGAGGAAUAAGUUUGGAUUUCGAAUUCUAUGAGAUAGAAUUUUAGAAAUCCAAAACUCUUUCAAUUUUGCACCAAAUUUAUCCAAUUUUUUUUUGAAAUUUUCAUAGAUUUUAGGGUAUACAUUGUGCACCCUUUGCUAGUAAUCCAUGCACAAAACUAAGGAGGAGGUGCUCAAGAGUUGGGCGCCCCUUAUCUUGCCAUGUUUGGAUAAGCCUUGACUAGGUAUUUGACCUAGACAAGGACUCUAUCAUAUCUCUCUGUAUAAAAUGAGUUUCUUUAUGAAAUUUUUGAAGAAGAUAGAGAUUUGAGAGACCUUUGGGCCAUCAAAAAUCAGAGAGAAAGACUUUUGGGUCGUGGAGAUAUAAUAGACACAAGAUAGGGUGUCUAGAGAGAGAAACGAGAAGAAGAAGAGGGUCUUCUUCUAGGGUUGUUUGUUUUCAUAUC